rnacentral:rRNA from 1 species
AUUGAACGCUGGCGGCAGGCCUAACACAUGCAAGUCGAGCGAGCGGCGGACGGGUGAGUAAUGUCUGGAAAACUGCCUGAUGGAGGGGGAUAUCUACUGGAAACGGUAUCUCCUACCGCAUACCAUCAGAAGUGCGCAGAUGGGUUUAGCUCGUAGGUGGGGUAACGGCUCACCUAGGCGACGCGACCUAGCGGGUCUGAGAGGAUGACCAGCCACACUGGAACUGAGACACGGUCCAGAUCCCUACGGGAGGCAGCAGUGGGGAAUAUUGCACAAUGGGCGCAAGCCUGAUGCAGCCAUGCCGCGUGUGUGAAGAAGGCCUUCGGGUUGUAAAGCACUUUCAGCGGGGAGGCGUUACCCGCAGAAGAAGCACCGGCUAACUCCGUGCCAGCAGCCGCGGUAAUAC